rnacentral:rRNA from 1 species
AUUGAACGCUGGCGGCAUGCCUUACACAUGCAAGUCGAACGGUAGAGUAGCAAUACAUGAGAGUGGCGAACGGGUGAGUAAUGCAUCGGAACAUGCCCAGUCGUGGGGGAUAACGUAGCGAAAGUUACGCUAAUACCGCAUACGAUCUAUGGAUGAAAGCGGGGGACUCGCAAGAGCCUCGCGCGAUUGGAGUGGCCGAUGUCAGAUUAGGUAGUUGGUGGGGUAAAAGCCCACCAAGCCAACGAUCUGUAGCUGGUCUGAGAGGACGACCAGCCACACUGGGACUGAGACACGGCCCAGACUCCUACGGGAGGCAGCAGUGGGGAAUUUUGGACAAUGGACGAAAGUCUGAUCCAGCAAUGCCGCGUGCAGGACGAAGGCCUUCGGGUUGUAAACUGCUUUUGUACGGAGCGAAAAGCUUUGGAUUAAUACUCCGAGGUCAUGACGGUACCGUAAGAAUAAGCACCGGCUAACUACGUGCCAGCCGCCGCCGUAA